GUAAGGAAUAUUGGUCAAUGGAGGCAACUCUGAACCAGCCAUGCCGCGUGCAGGAAGACGGCCCUCUGGGUUGUAAACUGCUUUUAUCUAGGAAUAAACCUACUUACGUGUAAGUAGCUGAAUGUACUAGAAGAAUAAGGAUCGGCUAACUCCGUGCCAGCAGCCGCGGUAAUACGGAGGAUCCAAGCGUUAUCCGGAUUUAUUGGGUUUAAAGGGUGCGUAGGCGGCCUAUUAAGUCAGGGGUGAAAGACGGUAGCUCAACUAUCGCAGUGCCCUUGAUACUGAUGGGCUUGAAUGAACUAGAGGUAGGCGGAAUGUGACAAGUAGCGGUGAAAUGUUUAGAUAUGUCACAGAACACCGAUUGCGAAGGCAGCUUACUAUGGUUUUAUUGACGCUGAGGCACGAAAGCGUGGGGAUCAAACAGGAUUAGAUACCCCAGUAGUCC
rnacentral:rRNA from 1 species